rnacentral:rRNA from 1 species
ACAAUGCGGGACUAUCAGUCUUGCAAUUGGAUUGAGAACAAUGUACAACUCUUAUCGAUAAGCCAUUGGAGGGCAAGUCUGGUGCCAGCAGCCGCGGUAAUUCCAGCUCCAAUAGCGUAUAUUAACGUUGUUGCAGUUAAAAAGCUCGUAGUUGAAGUGUGGGUGAUCGCUGUUGUGAGACUUCGGUCUCUCGACAGUAAGUCACCCCCUUCCAGUAUCCAGUAGUGGGUAUUCACUUACUUACUACUGUGUGUUGGUCGUUUACUGUGAGAAAAUUAGAGUGUUCAAAGCAGGCGUUUGCUUGAAUAGAUUAGCAUGGAAUAAUAAUUGAAGGCUUUCGUGUUCGAUUUGAUUGGUUUGUUCAUGGAAGCAAGGUUAAAAGGAACAGUUGGGGGUAUUCAUAUUCACUAGUUAGAGGUGAAAUUCUCGGAUUUAUGGAA